AUUUAUAUUUGUGUCAAGUUAGUGUAAAAUACAACUGUCAACUUGUGCAUGACUCCAUAAAGUACAGAGCAGGAGAGAUUCAGGCCCUUAGUGCCUUGAUUUAAAGGCACAACAGUGUGUUAAUUGUUAUGAGAGAAGCACAAAUCUUGUAUUUGGCUGUUGGCAGGGGUGAAUUGGUGACACUGAAUGAGGACGAUGUGAGGGAUGAGGAGUUUGCAAAUUCAAGCCUCGACCUGCAAUUUGUACUUGCUGUGCUGGCAGAAUCAUUGAUUUCAGUGUGACUACUCUCAGUGAAUAAAGACUAUAAUUCAACUCCACUGAAGCCAAAAUCCAUCCUAGCUAAACAGGAGCACCUUUGCUGAAGUUGCAGCCAGUGACAUCCGUGGUGAACUUGGCCCACUGCCUAGACUUAUUGCAGCAGGACUGAGAACAGCGCAGUCUGGACCACAUGCUUCCAGUCACUUCAAACUCAUUCCUCUGCUCAAGAUUCUUGUCCUUUCAAAUUGUUCUGGUAUUCUAGUGGAUUGAGUUGUUAUGGCCUUGUCCACAGCUGAACAGUUGAAUGAAAAGAAUGUUUUUUUCCAAAUAAUUUUAGUUAGAGGUUAUUUUCUGACUUCUUCGGUUGUUAUGACUGGAAGCUAAUUUCAGAAGUGGAAGGAGAAGGAGCUGCUUGCACUAAAAGGAACAAAGUUUGUUUCAUCCCGGCAAAUAGUUUCUAAAAAUUAAACACAAUGGUAAAUUAAGCACAAUGGUUUGAAAACAAUGGUUUCUAAAAAUUAAGCACAAUGGUCCAGUCACUGGGGUUUAUUUUGGGGUCCACUCACUGGGACUGAUCUCCUGUAAAAAGAUACAAUAUUUAUAUCUUUGUAACAAAUCUGGGACUACACAGGAUUGCCUAUUGGUCACUGUCCUGUGCAGCAUGGCUGCCCAAAAUCUUAUGGGUAACAGGAGUAGAACUCUCAUCUUCAUCUGCUCCUAAAGCACAGCCCCCUACCACUAGAGUUAAAGAAGAAUCUCCCUUAACGGUUAGCAGCAUAGGGUUUAUGACAGGCAGCUGAGCAGUCAUGACUUCAUCCCAUAGAGACAGUUUAAAAAGGAGCCGGGGCGGGGGGCCGGAGGCCUAGCUGUUAAGUACAGUGUCACGCAUAACAAUAUUAAAAGAAGAUUGAGAGCCAGUUAGACCUUGAAUUGGUCUUCAGUCAUGCAGUGCAAAAGCUAUUAUUGUAAAUU